rnacentral:tRNA from 1 species
GCUUGGUAGUGUAAUCGAUAAGCACUACUGACCGGAUAUCUGUAGGUGCGGGUUCGAGUCCCGUCUAAAGUU